UAUGCACGCUGGCGGCGUGCCUAAUACAUGCAAGUCGAGCGAACGGACGAGAAGCUUGCUUCUCUGAUGUUAGCGGCGGACGGGUGAGUAACACGUGGAUAACCUACCUAUAAGACUGGGAUAACUUCGGGAAACCGGAGCUAAUACCGGACAAUAUUUUGAACCGCAUGGUUCAAAAGUGAAAGACGGUCUUGCUGUCACUUAUAGAUGGAUCCGCGCUGCAUUAGCUAGUUGGUAAGGUAACGGCUUACCAAGGCAACGAUGCAUAGCCGACCUGAGAGGGUGAUCGGCCACACUGGAACUGAGACACGGUCCAGACUCCUACGGGAGGCAGCAGUAGGGAAUCUUCCGCAAUGGGCGAAAGCCUGACUGAGCAACGCCGCGUGAGUGAUGAAGGUCUUCGGAUCGUAAAACUCUGUUACUAGGGAAGAACAUAUGUGUAAGUAACUGUGCACAUCUUGACGGUACCGAAUCAGAAAGCCACGGCGAACUACGU
rnacentral:rRNA from 1 species